UACAGAGGAGCCAAGCGUUGUCCGGAUUGACUGGGCGUAAAGCGCACGCAGGCGGACGCGCGCGUGGGGUGUGAAAUCUGGCCGCUUAACGGCCAGGCGCCAUCCCAUACGGCGCGUCUGGAGCAAUGCAGAGGUCGGUGGAAUUGCCGGUGUAGUGGUGAAAUGCGUGGAGAUCGGCGGGAACACCCAGGGGGAAACCAGCUGACUGGGCAUUUGCUGACGCUGAGGUGCGAGAGCGUGGGGAGCGAACCGG
rnacentral:rRNA from 1 species